GUGCCAGCCGCCGCGGUAAUACGUAGGGUGCGAGCGUUAAUCGGAAUUACUGGGCGUAAAGCGUGCGCAGGCGGCUUUUUAAGCCAGACGUGAAAUCCCCGGGCUUAACCUGGGAAUGGCGUUUGGAACUGGAAGGCUAGAGUGUGUCAGAGGGGGGUAGAAUUCCACGUGUAGCAGUGAAAUGCGUAGAGAUGUGGAGGAAUACCGAUGGCGAAGGCAGCCCCCUGGGAUAACACUGACGCUCAUGUACGAAAGCGUGGGUAGCAAACAGGAUUAGAAACCCUCGUAGUCC
rnacentral:rRNA from 1 species